rnacentral:rRNA from 1 species
UACGGAGGGUGCAAGCGUUAUCCGGAAUCACUGGGUUUAAAGGGAGCGUAGGCGGGCUAACAAGUCUGGGGUGAAAUGCCGCGGCUCAACCGUGGAACUGCCUCAGAUACUGUCGGCCUCGAGGGAGAUAGGGGCAUGCGGAACUAACGGUGGAGCGGUGAAAUGCGUUGAUAUCGUUAGGAACUCCGGUGGCGAAAGCGGCGUGCUGGAUCUCUUCUGACGCUGAGGCUCGAAAGCUAGGGGAGCAAACGGG